rnacentral:rRNA from 1 species
GACGAACGCUGGCGGCGUGCUUAACACAUGCGAGUCGAACGAUGAAGCCUAGCUUGCUAGGUGGAUUAGUGGCGAACGGGUGAGUAAUACGUGAGUGACCUACCUUUGACUCUGGGAUAAGCCUGGGAAACUGGGUCUAAUACCGGAUACGACCAAUCUCCGCAUGGGGUGUUGGUGGAAAGCGUUAUGGAGUGGUUUUAGAUGGGCUCACGGCCUAUCAGCUUGUUGGUGAGGUAAUGGCUUACCAAGGCGACGACGGGUAGCCGGCCUGAGAGGGUGACCGGCCACACUGGGACUGAGACACGGCCCAGACUCCUACGGGAGGCAGCAGUGGGGAAUAUUGCACAAUGGGCGCAAGCCUGAUGCAGCGACGCCGCGUGAGGGAUGACGGCCUUCGGGUUGUAAACCUCUGUUAGCAUCGAAGAAGCGAAAGUGACGGUAGGUGCAGAGAAAGCGCCGGCUAACUACGUGCCAGCAGCCGCGGUAAUACGUAGGGCGCGAGCGUUGUCCGGAAUUAUUGGGCGUAAAGAGCUUGUAAGCGGUUGGUCGCGUCUGCUGUGAAGGCUGGGGCUUAACCCUGGUUUUGCAGUGGGUACGGGCUAACUAGAGUGCAGUAGGGGAGACUGGAAUUCCUGGUGUAGCGGUGGAAUGCGCAGAUAUCAGGAGGAACACCGAUGGCGAGGGCAGGUCUCUGGGCUGUAACUGACGCUGAGAAGCGAAAGCAUGGGGAGCGAACAGGAUUAGAUACCCUGGUAGUCCAUGCCGUAAACGUUGGGCACUAGGUGCGGGGGACAUUCCACGUUUUCCGCGCCGUAGCUAACGCAUUAAGUGCCCCGCCUGGGGAGUACGGCCGCAAGGCUAAAACUCAAAGAAAUUGACGGGGGCCCGCACAAGCGGCGGAGCAUGCGGAUUAAUUCGAUGCAACGCGAAGAACCUUACCAAGGCUUGACAUAUACUGGACUGCGUCAGAGGUGGCGUUUCCCUUCGGGGCUGGUAUACAGGUGGUGCAUGGUUGUCGUCAGCUCGUGUCGUGAGAUGUUGGGUUAAGUCCCGCAACGAGCGCAACCCUCGUUCUAUGUUGCCAGCACGUGGUGGUGGGGACUCAUAGGAGACUGCCGGGGUCAACUCGGAGGAAGGUGGGGAUGACGUCAAAUCAUCAUGCCCCUUAUGUCUUGGGCUUCACGCAUGCUACAAUGGCCGGUACAGAGGGUUGCGAUACUGUGAGGUGGAGCUAAUCCCUAAAAGCCGGUCUCAGUUCGGAUUGGGGUCUGCAACUCGACCCCAUGAAGUCGGAGUCGCUAGUAAUCGCAGAUCAGCAACGCUGCGGUGAAUACGUUCCCGGGCCU